rnacentral:rRNA from 1 species
CCUACGGGAGGCUGCAGUGAGGAAUAUUGCUCAAUGGACGAAAGCCUGAUCCAGCGAAGUAGCGUGAAUGAUGACUGCCCUCUGGGUUGUAAACUUCAUUUAUAAAGGAAUAAAACGAGGCACGUGUGCCUUUUUGCAUGUACUAUAUGAAUACGGAUCGGCUAACUCCGCGCCAGCAGCCGCGGUAAUACGGAGGGGCCGAGCGUUAUCCGGAUUUAUUGGGUCUAAAGGGAGCGUAGAUGGGUAGUCAAGUCAGUUGUGAAAGUUUGCGGCUCAACCGUAAAAUUGCAAUUGAUACUGGCAGUCUUGAGUACAGUAGAGGUAAGCGGAAUUCGUGGUGUAGCGGUGAAAUGCGUAGAUAUCACGAAGAACCCCGAUGGCGAAGGCAGCUUACUAAACUGUGACUGACAUUGAUGCUCGAAAGUGUGGGUAUCAAACAGGAUUAGAUACCCGAGUAGUC